rnacentral:snoRNA from 1 species
AAGCAAUCACUCUGUGGCAGAUGAAUGAAACCAUCUGACCCAAUUUGAGCUGGCUAUACCAAGAAAGUCUAACUUAUUCUGGUGUUCUUUGCUCUAUGAGACAAGUCAUUACGUAAUGACUUUAUAUAA